GAGUGAGAAACACUGGGGGAGAAGGGAGACGUCUCAGACUCUUUUAAACAGCCAGAUCUCAGGUGAACUAACUGAGCAAGAACUAAUUCAUCUCCAAUGGG